GACAGAGGAGGCAAGCGUUAUCCGGAAUUAUUGGGCGUAAAGCGUCCGUAGGUGGUUUGACAAGUCUGGGGUUAAAGCCCGGAGCCCAACUCCGGAUCGGCCCUGGAAACUGUCAGACUUGAGUAAGGUAGGGGUUGCGGGAAUUCCCGGUGUAGCGGUGAAAUUCGUAGAUAUCGGGAAGAACACCAGCGGCGAAAGCGCGCAACUGGGCCAUUACUGACACUGCGGGACCAAAGCUAGGGGAGCGAAUGGG
rnacentral:rRNA from 1 species